GGGGAAAUAGCUCAGUUGGUUAUAGUGCUGGUCUGUCACGCCAGAAGUCGCGGGUUCGAACCCCGUUUUCCCCG
rnacentral:tRNA from 1 species